rnacentral:lncRNA from 1 species
CUCCGGUUUUUAUGAUGUAUACCUAACAUCGGGCUGGCCAGAAAUGGCCUUCAUGCUUGAUGAAUCCAACCUCCAUCUUCGGUUGGUGCCGAGAAUACGGCUGAUUGAAGCCAAAGUGGAGAUCCACAACAAUGGCAUUGAAAAAUGGAGCUAGAUGCUGUGGUAUAACAAAUUUUCACUCAGAUAGCAUUGGUAGGGCCCC